UAACUAGAUCACAGAGAUGUGAUGGAAAAUAGUUGAUGAGUUGUUUAAUUUUAAGAAUUUUUAUCUUAAUUAAGGAAGGAGUGAUUUCAAUGGCACAAGAUAUCAUUUCAACAAUCGGUGACUUAGUAAAAUGGAUUAUCGACACAGUGAACAAAUUCACUAAAAAAUAAGAUGAAUAAUUAAUUACUUUCAUUGUAAAUUUGUUAUCUUCGUAUAGUACUAAAAGUAUGAGUUAUUAAGCCAUCCCAACUUAAUAACCAUGUAAAAUUAGCAAGUGAGUAACAUUUGCUAGUAGAGUUAGUUUCCUUGGACUCAGUGCUAUGUAUUUUUCUUAAUUAUCAUUACAGAUAAUUAUUUCUAGCAUGUAAGCUAUCGUAAACAACAUCGAUUUAUCAUUAUUUGAUAAAUAAAUUUUUUUUUCAUAAUUAAUAACAUCCCCAAAAAUAGAUUGAAAAAAUAACUGUAAAACAUUCCCUUAAUAAUAAGUAUGGUCGUGAGCCCCUCCCAAGCUCGCGGC
rnacentral:ncRNA from 1 species